GACGGAGGUGGCGAGCGUUGUCCGGAGUCACUGGGCGUAAAGCGCGCGCAGGCGGCGGACCAAGUGUGGUGUGAAAGCCCGCGGCUUAACUCGGGAAGGGCGCUGCAGACUGGGCGGCUCGAGCUGGGGAGAGGGACGUCGAAUUCCGGGUGUAGCGGUGAAAUGCGUAGAGAUCGGGAGGAAGACCGGGGGCGAAGGCAGCGGGCUGGCCGCAUGCUGACGCUGAGGCGCGACAGCGUGGGGAGCAAACCGG
rnacentral:rRNA from 1 species